GGGUACACGUGGAACCCACUCAGACCUUGGCUGGUUAUUUUAGAUGCCUAAACAGAAUGUCUCCAGCUACAGCCUCAUCAGGAUGGGAUGGAGGAAUUAUGGAAGACCUCUGCUUUUCCGGAGUGACAGAUGGACAGCAAAGGCAUUCCCUGUUGCCUAAGAAAAUAAGAAAGAUUGUUUCUUAAGAGAAAAGCCAGGUGCAUUGCAUUUAUUCAUGGGAAUUGUUGCUUCAGCUCUGCUCGCUGUGCUUACAUGAUGUCCUUGCUCCAGAUCACCAGCAAAAGGUUUGGGCCAUAGAAACCUGGAUUUAAACAGUUGACGUCCUGGUGGAAGGGUGGCCUUGUACACAGUGAUAGAAAUCUGUGUUUCGUUCUGCGUAUCCAGACUUCAAGAAUUGUUUAAUUAGCCCUCUGCUUUGAUCACCUGUA
rnacentral:lncRNA from 1 species